rnacentral:rRNA from 1 species
AAAUGAAUAGACGGGGGCCCGCACAAGCGGUGGAGCAUGUGGUUUAAUUCGAAGCUACGCGAAGAACCUUACCAGGGCUUGACAUCCCCUGACCGGCGUGGAAACACGUCUUCUUUUCGGAGCAGGGAGACAGGUGGUGCAUGGUUGUCGUCAGCUCGUGUCGUGAGAUGUUGGGUUAAGUCCCGCAACGAGCGCAACCCCUACUCUGUGUUGCCAGCACGUAACGGUGGGGACUCACAGAGGACUGCCGGUGACAAACCGGAGGAAGGUGGGGAUGACGUCAAAUCAUCAUGCCCCUUAUGUUCUGGGCUACACACGUGCUACAAUGGCCGGCACAGACGGAAGCGAACCUGUGAGGGGGAGCAGAUCCGAGAAAACCGGUCUCAGUUCGGAUUGCAGGCUGCAACUCGCCUGCAUGAAGUCGGAAUCGCUAGUAAUCGCAGGUCAGCAUACUGCGGUGAAUACGUUCCCGGGCCUUGUACACACCGCCCGU